rnacentral:lncRNA from 1 species
CUCGUUAAAUAUGCCUUCAAGGCUUCAGACAUCACCACUAAACACCAACCUCCUCGCACCACCACCACCACUAAUAGUAGAAAAAGUAGCAAUUCUUGAGCAGAAGAUUAUAUUCCAAAUAUUCUAUUAAUUUAACUAAUUUCGAUAUUUAGAAUCAUGUUAUUUGAAGCAAAUCAUGAUUUUAAUUAUCCACCAUUACUCUUAGAUUUCUAAUGUUUAUAUAACUUGUAUGAUUUAUUACAGAAAAGUUUCUAGAAAUAACAAGCUCGAUCACAAGAACAAGAAGUCAAUUUAAUAUUCGAACCAGGUAGGGGGGAGGAUUUGAAAAAUUUAACAGAAGGUACCUUAUUACAAGUGUAAAAAUGUGUUAUCUCUUAAUGAUCUAUAUCAGAGUCAUAUACUAUAUCUUUCGUGCUCCGGCGAGUGAGGCCUAAGGAGAGACGUGCCAUUUCAUAUAACGGCUGUACGUUUAAAUAACGACAUGCCAGCAUGACUUCAUUAAGAUCCUCCUUACUCAAGCUGUAAAUGAAAUCAAUGUCCCAUUGCCUGAGAUCAUCAUAUCUCCAGCUAGUACCUUUCUUGCCUGUCAUGCAAUGCUUGCUACAAUAAGCCAUGAUUUUGGAUAAUAUGAAACUGGAAACUUUUGUAAAAGACAUGGAAUCAUACUCUUUGUCAAAGUUUUCAUCGAGCAAUCUUUUCAAAACUACUGGAGUUCCCAUAUCAUUAUCUGAAAAUGUGAAAAAUUUACCAUCCUUACACAACACAGUUACCAUUCUUAAAGAAGCAUAAGAAGAAGGAGAAGAAAAAGGGACAGAAGACGACAUAUCUGAUAAUCUGAAAGGUUAGGUUUUCUGAAUGAAAAUUGGAUGGUUC